AAAACGACUCUCGGCAACGGAUAUCUCGGCUCUCGCAUCGAUGAAGAACGUAGCGAAAUGCGAUACUUGGUGUGAAUUGCAGAAUCCCGUGAACCAUCGAGUCUUUGAACGCAAGUUGCGCCCCAAGCCUUCAGGCCGAGGGCACGUCUGCCUGGGUGUCACGC
rnacentral:rRNA from 1 species